UCUGGAGGAAGGAUGAUCGCCCGCCAAAAAUUUCGUAUUUAGGCGGGAGGAAAGUCCAGGCAGCAUAAGGCAGGAGAUCUCGCGUAAGCGGGAACCCGAGAGGGCUGGUUAGAGCAACAGUGACGAUUCCGUAACGAGCCUAAAGCUUGUUAAGGAGUGAAACGCCCCACUACGCCGAAAGGCUACGCGGGGUCCCGCGGAGCUCGCAAGAGCAAAGUGGGAGGCAAUCCCCUCCGCUGCAACCCACGAAAGGUUCGUUUGAGGUCGCCUUACCGAGAACCGAAGAUUUGGGGCAUAGACAGAUGAUCGUCUUGAAACAGAACCUGGCUUACUAGCCUCCAGAGCAU
rnacentral:RNase_P_RNA from 3 species